rnacentral:rRNA from 1 species
UGCCAGCAUUAAGUUGGGGACUCUGACGGUACUGCCGGUGACAAACCGGAGGAAGGUGGGGACGACGUCAAGUCAUCAUGGCCCUUAUGUCCUGGGCUACACACGUGCUACAAUGGUCGGUACAGAGCGCAGCGAGACCGCGAGGUGGAGCAAAUCGCAGAAAGCCGAUCUCAGUACAGAUUGAAGUCUGAAACUCGACUUCAUGAAGGUGGAAUCGCUAGUAAUCGCGCAUCAGCAUGGCGCGGUGAAUACGUUCCCGGGCCUUGUACACACCGCCCGUCACACCACCCGAGUUGGGGGUACCCGAAGUCGCUAGUCUAACUGUCAAAAGGAGACGGUGCCUAAGGUAUACCUGGUAAGGGGGGUG